rnacentral:tRNA from 4 species
CAGAUAGCUCAGUCGGUAGAGCAAAGGACUGAAAAUCCUUGUGUCGCUGGUUCAAUUCCUGCUCUGGG